AUAUUUAUCACACUAGAAUCGAAUAUCCUAAGCUUUAAUUUAAUAUAGAAUUAUUUGUUUAUUUUAUAGAUCUGCUUUAGAUUUG
rnacentral:tRNA from 1 species